rnacentral:lncRNA from 1 species
CCCACCUGAUACGCUUAACGUUGUAGAAACUCUUGCUCACUUAUCUAGCAUUGCUACUGUCACCUUCAGAAUAGCAAGAUUCUAAAAUAAGAUUGAAUAACUAGAUAAGAAGAAAUAGCUAUAAAUAACAUCCCAAUAAACUUUUAAUCUUUUGCAAAGCUAGGGUUGAAUCAACUAAACUAACCAAUAUACUAACUCUUAUGAACUUUAAGAAAGUAUAAACUAAUAUUCCUAUCUUAUAGGAAUUCCUUUACUUGGAAAAGUUUAGAAGUAAACAAAUCCAUUCCAUAGAGAUCAGUUUACAACUAACCAUACAUGUAAAACACAAAAUCCCAAAGUAAUUAAUCAUAUAAGUAUAAUUAUGUCCAUCACUAUCAUAUCAACAAGAUUUAGUAAUCAAUAAUCCUCAAUAGGUAAUUAGAACAAUAAAACCUCAAUUCAAGUUUAGUAGUGUAGGAUCUCAAUUAACUACCAAUCACAAGUUUAAUCAAGACACAUACACAUUUGAAUCCUAACUUUGGAAAAUCAUAUAAAAUCAAUCACUUCAAGGAAAAAUACGAGUUUUACCUUUUUAGAAAGCUAUUAAUGUCUAUAUUUCUCAGAAAUUUACAAAAACACAAUAUCUCAAGUGUAUAAGAAGUUAUAUCAAGAAAGGCAGAAUCUGCCACAGAACCUCGCUGCUUAGCGCAGUACUUUUCAGAAAAUUGUUUGACCUAUCUAGAGGUCUCGGAUUCAGCUGAAAUUUUUCAGAGAACGACUACACAUGAUGAAGUUAUUACAGUAAAAAUUUCAAGUUAUUUGGAUUACGAAAACAUCAUCAAAAGUACCCCGAAACAUACUGUUCUGUCCAAUCCGAAAACUGACAGCAAUGCUCAUUGACAUAUCACUCAUAUUUUUCUCAAAUAAAAGCUAUAGGAACUCAAAUACAUCAUCUUAAUACACACUAGCAUGCUUUAGCUUAAACUUAAUUCAUGUUCAACACAUCAACAUAUAGUAGCAUGCUUGAUAUCCUCCAACUAUUGUCAUAUAAUCUCAUUUUACAAUUCAAGGAGUACAAUUACACAAGCAUCAAACAUGUAGCUAGCUUAUUCCAAGAACUCCCAAAUUCACUUAAACUAAACUAUUAGGGAAUCAUGUUUUCUUGUGAAUAAAUACCCAAAUACAUCGUCUUCAUAUACCCAACAGAACACAAGAUCAGUUAUAUAGAAAUGCUGGAUAAAGAGAUAAAUAGCAUAAUCGAUUUACUUCCUAUAAAAUCAACAGACUAUGAUUACCACACUUCUUAAUGCAUGCCCAGUCGCAUAGAAAUGCAGAGGAUCUGUACUUAAUGUAUCCAUAUUAUCUAUACAAAACUCUUAAAUACACAGCUUCAUUUAUAGGAAAUUCGGAUAUGCAAACUUUGUUAAAGAAAUUGGCAACCCUAUGUUUCAUAUCACUUAUGAACAAGCAAGGAGAACCACAACUCCAAUAGGGUUAACUAGUACACCACAACAUCAUUCGAAUUUACCCCAUAGAAGAGAAAUAGGAAAAUAGGAAAAGGGCUUAGCUUUUAGGUAAUUAAGGAAAGGCAGCGGUCCCUGUUCCAUCGGUGUGAGCUGUGGAUCGACGCCGAGCGACGAGAAGGUGGGAAUUGCCAGGAAUAGCAGCGGCGUAACCUUCGCUGCUAGAAUCCAGAACACGGCGAUGGCGAUUAACGAGGAAGUGCAGCUAGGGCUCAUCCUAGAAGAAGACCCCACCCUCCCUUGGGUUGUAAAGAGAGAGAACCGGGGAGGGAGCAACGGUGGCGCGUCGAUUCCCAGCCAAGAAAGACGCAGCAUCAUCGAACCAGAGCAACGGCAGCUUCCGCUUUGUCAGGAGAGAUGAGACGUCGCGGCACGUCGAGCAAUCUCCGAGCAGUGGCGUUAUUGGAUAACCUCUUGUAUAAUUGGAGUGCCUCUUGAAAUCAAAGGAAUUAAAAAAACAAACUAAGGGUUUGGCAGAGGAAAGGGGACGACUUGGUUGGAAGAUAAGGAGGAGAAAAUCUUCCUUCAUAAGCUAACCUUGUAAAUAUCCCUUCACUAUAUAAUAUUAAAAUAUAUCUAGUAGUAGCUUGUAUAAUUGCAUUAAACAAAUAGCAGAUAAUGCAAUACUCUAUUUAUAUCAAAUUCAUAAUAGAAUCAAGUUGAUAGAAUUUAAACCCAUCAACUCAAGCGUAAAUUGUGAUAAAAUCCCAAAUAAAUUCACUUAAUACUAAAAUGAGAUUUUCACUCCUAAUAUUGGAAAAUGAAUCUGUUAAUAUAAAAUUCUUGCUAUUAAAACAUAAUCUCAAUAAUUAAGAAAUAAUAAAUCUCAAACUCAUAACUUAAAAAAUAAAUCAUCAAUAUUAAAAUAAAAAGCUCAUAGAUAAAUAAUUAAAUAACAUCCGUCACUUCAAUUAGUCGAGCAAUAAGUCGACUAAUAAUAUCUCGUAUUUAUUACCAUUCUCAU